GAUUUUCAUCUCCGGAGAGUCAUCGUUCUUGUCCGGAAACCUCGGAACUGGAGUGAUUAAUACAGUGUCCGUAGCUGGAGCAUUCUGCGGAUUAGGCUUCGUCUUCUUCUUCCCCUUCCGUGUAGAUCUCGUCGACCAGACAUUGUUGUUAGUCUUCUUCUUCGACUUCUUCUUAGCUGUAGCAGCUUGCGUGGUUGCUGCAGCAGCAGGAGUAGCAGCGAGUUACUGCAGCAGCAGGAGUAGCAGCAGACGGAGUAGCUUUAUCGGUCUCCUCCUCGACGCUAACAUCGCCAUUUCCGUUCGAAACAGAUUCGUCUACUGGCGUCGCCUCUGUAAUCACCACCGCUUCGAUUUGUUUCAGUUGUUCCUCCUCUUCUGCUGCUUCCUCCUUCACCUCCUCGAGAAGCUCCGUCUGCUUCAGCUUCUUACUAGGCCGUUCCUCUUCAUCCUCUACCUCCUCCUCUCCUUCCUUCACGGAACGUUUCUCCGUGUCGUUGGACGUAGUAGGGUCCGAUUCCGAGACGGAUUCGGAGGCAGCGACUUCCUGCUGCUUGUCAUCACUCUUAUUGACUACGGAAUCGUGCUCUGGAGUAAUCUCAAUGGCGACGGCGGCGGGAGGCGGAGGUGGAGGAAGAGGAGGAAGAUUGUCGUCCCGAUUGUCGUCGGGGACGACGGAGGAUGGCUGACUUCCAUCUGCCUCCUCGGCAGCCGACGACAUCUCCUCGUCUCUGUAGGUGGACAGAAGGGAAUCCAUUGGAAGCAGAUAGGAGAAUUGACGAGUGAAAGAAGCUGUUCGUUGGUAAAUUCAAAAUCGACGACGAUCGGAAGAGAAGAGAAGUAAUCUUUCUGCCGGGAAAGCAAGGGAAGUAGAGCUGGGCUCGACCCGUGAAUUGAUAAAUGCUCCUAAGGCCCAAUUUUUGGAAGUAAACAGUCGAUUGUGGGCUUCACUUAUAAGGAAUUAUAGCCACGGUUAACAUAUAGCAAAAACAGUCAAUAUACCGCCAAAUUAUCGCGGUAUCCCGCCAUACCACUCAUACUGUUAAUGUUUUUGUUGGAGGGAUUAUUAUUU
rnacentral:lncRNA from 1 species